rnacentral:lncRNA from 1 species
UGGCCCAUGAAAUGAGAUAUCCUGGGGGAGACUGCACCUCUGACAUAUGGAUCUAGGACGAAGGGUGUAGGGUGCAUAUGCAGCUGGAGAUCCAUGGUGUUAAGCUCACUGUAAUUAAGAUGGUUUCUUCCCUGCCUGCGGUGUUGUAUGUGAUGUGGUAUCAAUUGGAAUAAGUUCCUGAUAGAACCUCUGACAUUGGCUUCAUGGGAGCUUGUGCCCUAAUAAGAGUUGCCUCUGAUUCUGAAAUUUCUGAUGCUUUUGUAGGCCUUAUAUCUUCUGCUUGAAAUGUUCUAAACGAG